ensembl:antisense Tmem147os transmembrane protein 147, opposite strand
UAGCAUGCCAGAUGAGUGGCAGAGCCACCCCUUCUCCACUACUCUUACUUUACCAGGUUGAGAGUACUUCGGCAAUUCCUGCAAUAGAACUUGAGUUUGGCAUGACCCCUCCGACCUACAGUCCUGCCUUCAGCCUUCCUCCAAACACGCUGUCACACCUCAUCUUCAGCAAGUUAAAAGGGAAGCUGAGAGUGUCUUGCCUGAGAAGGAGCCAGAAGACCUUGCCUGGGGCUACAGAGGGUUGGGUGCUUCUCUGUUUGCAAAGUGACGCUGGGUGUUCCCAGGGAAGGGCCGUAUGUCUCCAUGUGAAAACCACCUCCCUCUCUCAGGUAAACAAGAUCUAUAUUCCUUUCCAUGGUGCUUCAGGUCUUAAAGGACUCCCUCUCCCCCUUCCCUUACCCCUAAUUUGUUCUUACAGCUGUGAAGAUUUCCUGGCUGUCUUUGAAUGUAGUAAGCAUGUCUCUUUCAA